UACGGGGGGGGCAAGCGUUGUUCGGAAUUACUGGGCGUAAAGAGCUCGUAGGCGGUUUGUUGCGUCGGCUGUGAAAUCCCGAGGCUCAACCUCGGGUCUGCAGUCGAUACGAGCAAACUAGAGUGUUGCAGGGGAGACUGGAAUUCCUGGUGUAGCGGUGAAAUGCGCAGAUAUCAGGAGGAACACCGGUGGCGAAGGCGGGUCUCUGGGCCGAUACUGACGCUGAGGAGCGAAAGCGUGGGGAGCGAACAGG
rnacentral:rRNA from 1 species